AUCCGUAGGGGGCGAGCGUUGUCCGGAAUGAUUGGGCGUAAAGGGCGCGUAGGCGGCGCGGUAAGUCUGGAGUGAAAGUCCUGCUUUCAAGGUGGGAAUUGCUUUGGAUACUGUCGGGCUUGAGUGCAGGAGAGGGAAGUGGAAUUCCCAGUGUAGCGGUGAAAUGCGUAGAGAUUGGGAGGAACACCAGUGGCGAAGGCGACUUACUGGACUGUAACUGACGCUGAGGCGCGAAAGUGUGGGGAGCAAACAGGAUUAGAUACCCUGGUAGUCCACACUGUAAACGAUGAAUGCUAGGUGUAGGGGGUAUCGACCCCUUCUGUGCCGCAGUCAACACAAUAAGCAUUCCGCCUGGGGAGUACGGCCGCAAGGUUGAAACUUAAAGGAAUUGACGGGG
rnacentral:rRNA from 1 species